rnacentral:rRNA from 1 species
CCUACGGGGGGCAGCAGUGAGGAAUAUUGGUCAAUGGGCGCGAGCCUGAACCAGCCAAGUCGCGUGAGGGAUGAAGGCCCUAUGGAUCGUAAACCUCUUUUAUAAGGGAAUAAAGUGUGGGACGUGUCCUCUUUUGUAUGUACCCUAUGAAAAAGGAUCGGCUAACUCCGUGCCAGCAGCCGCGGUAAUACGGAGGAUCCGAGCGUUAUCCGGAUUUAUUGGGUUUAAAGGGUGCGUAGGCGGCCUUUUAAGUCAGCGGUGAAAGUUUGUGGCUCAACCAUGGAGUUGCCGUUGAAACUGGGGGGCUUGAGUAUGUUUGAGGCAGGCGGAAUGCGUGGUGUAGCGGUGAAAUGCUUAGAUAUCACGCAGAACCCCGAUUGCGAAGGCAGCCGGCCAAGCCAUGACUGACGCUGAUGCACGAAAGCGUGGGGAUCGAACAGGAUUAGAUACCCGAGUAGUC